rnacentral:rRNA from 1 species
AGGCCAGACUCCUACGGGAGGCAGCAGUGAGGAAUAUUGGUCAAUGGGCGGGAGCCUGAACCAGCCAAGCCGCGUGAAGGAAGAAGGCGCCAAGCGUCGUAAACUUCUUUUGUCGGGGAACAAAGGGCGCCACGUGUGGCGUUGUGAGUGUACCCGAAGAAAAAGCAUCGGCUAACUCCGUGCCAGCAGCCGCGGUAAUACGGAGGAUGCGAGCGUUAUCCGGAUUUAUUGGGUUUAAAGGGUGCGUAGGCGGUCCGGAAAGUCAGCGGUAAAAGCCCGGGGCUCAACCCCGUCCGGCCGUUGAAACUGGGGGCCUUGAGUGGGCGAGAAGAAGGCGGAAUGCGUGGUGUAGCGGUGAAAUGCAUAGAUAUCACGCAGAACCCCGAUUGCGAAGGCAGCCUUCCGGCGCCCUACUGACGCUGAGGCACGAAAGUGCGGGGAUCGAACAGGAUUAGAUACCCGUGUA